rnacentral:lncRNA from 1 species
AAACCGCAGUUCGCCGCCGCCGCCGCCGGGCACCCAGCCCCAGGGGGGCGGGCUGGAGGGAGGGGGCGGGCGCUGGCCGGGGGACCCCCGCAACCAUGGCGGGCGGGGAGUGGGCUGCCGAGCCGCUUCACCUGCCGCAGAGGGGGCGGCCGGCGCCGCUUCACCUGCCGGAGCGGGAGGCCACCGAGGCGAGGCCGAGGCGGCGGCGCGCUCGGCGGCGCCUCCGGGUCCUAGAACCGCAUCCUCCCGCUCGCCUCGGGCGAGGGAUUGGCCGGGUCUGGGUGAAGGGGAUCACGGCCUGGGGAUUGGAGGGGCACAUCUUCUCCGCACCGAGGAUCUCAGCGACUGCGAGCACGGCUCGGAGACCCACGGUGGUGCAGCGUUGGGGCGCCAGGGCUGCGUUCCCGUCUCGCGUCCCGGACUGAGAAGAAAUACUUUCAGAGCUCUUUCAUUCAUCCUGACAAUGGCCAGAGAAGGUAGGUAUUGGUAGCCUUAUUUUAGAGAUGGGGAAACUGAGGCUGAGAGUAGGUAAGUAAGCUGUCCAAGGGCACUCAGCUAACAAAGGACAGAAGCAAGCCUCCUCACUGUCUACCUCCAAAACCUACACUGGCUUGGAGUUGCUGUCCUGGCCCUCCACUGCCCAUCUCAUGUAGGACGGGAGAGUAUGGGGGGCUGGGGUCCCAUCUAUAGCCUGAAUUUGAGACUUUCAGUUGCUCCUCUCAUUCCCCAUUUAAUUUGUGGGGAUCCCCAACUGACCCCUCCCUACACUUCCAGGGCACUGAGGAGGGAGGGCCCGCUGAAGGAGCCCCGAAUUAUCUCUAGGCCAGGUCAGGAGCCAUUAGUGUCCCCUCCCCUGACAGCAUCCUCCUCCUUCUGCCCUCACAUUCAGAGCCACUGACAAGACUUUAAGCAAGAGACGGAGAGUUAACAUCUAAUCUGGAGGAAGACCCUGGAAGGAGCCAGCCCCUUCCCCCAGGCUGACCUGGUUUAAGCCUUUCUUCUGCCAAGGUCACCAGCACCCCAGAUGGGUGAGAGAUGUGAUCACUGGUUUCGUGGCCUGACCAAGGACCUCCAAGAUUCUGUGGCAGAUGAGAAAUGCCUUGGUCCUUGGGCUGCUUGCAGCCUAGCGAGGGACAGACUUUUAACCUCUCUAGGAGAGUGGCUGCUUCAAGUCAUCCUAUGGGACCAGCUGUUCAUGCUUCCUCUUGCCCAGAACUACUUCUGUGAGAGGAAAAGAGAAGGGUAGGAGCGUGCCCUGCAGCUGGAAACCCAAGCCAGGCGGGGAGCCACGAAUGCAGUAGUUAUCAGACUGUAUCUUCAAUCCUGGGGGCUUCUCAAGCCAUUGCCAGCCACUCUUCACCCAAGGCCUGGUGGAAUAAAGCUGGGCUAAGUAACACCUCUUCUGUGGAAAAUUAUUGUUUCUGCAAGCCUAUAUUCAUUCUCCCUCUCUCUCAUGCUGAUCAGAACUGUGAGUUACAAAAAAAAUGAGAAGAUGGAAUCAAUUAUUACGUAGUAAAUUUCAUUUGCUUGGCAGGAGGUAUCUUUCCCAUCUUGGCCCACAGAGGAGGAAAUCCUAGAAGGGAUGACUGAAGCUUGGGACUAACACAUUGGUGGAUCUGUGCUACCCCCUGCUGGCCGUAGACGGUAUGACAGCCAAGAUAGGGCAAGGCUUCGAGGGGCGAUGGAUGGAUUCACCGCAGCGGCGACAUUUCUGGACUGUUGUCACCUUCAGUGCAGUCACUGGGAAUAUUCAGAACCCAGGUGAUUGAUAAGGUUUUCCCAGGGAUCUCUUCUCUCCCCUUCACCAUUACUCAGUAGGAGCUUCCUUAAAAACGGAAAACGAGAGGCCGGGCGCGGUGGCUCACGCCUGUAAUCCCAGCACUUUGGGAGGCGGAGGCGGGCGGAUCACGAGGUCAGGAGAUCGAGACCAUCCUGGCUAACACAACCCCGUCUCUACUUAAAAUACAAAAAAUUAGCCGGGCGUGGUGGCACGCGCCUGUAGUUCCAGCUACUCAGGAGGCUGAGGCAGGAGAAUCGCUUGAACCCGGGAGGCAGAGGAGGUUGCAGUGAGCUGAGAUGGCGCCACUGCACUCCAGCCUGGCCGACUGAGACUCCAUCUCAAAAAAAAAAAAAAAAAAAGGAAAAAGGGGCCGGGCGCGGUGGCUCACGUCUAUAAUCCUAGCACUUUGGGAGACCAAGGCGGGCAGAUCACGAGGUCAGGAAUUUGAGACUAGUGUGGCCAACAUGGUGAAACCCCAUCUCUACUAAAAAUACAAAAAAUUAGCCGGGUGUGGUGGCGCAUGCCUGUAAUCCUAGCUACUCGGGAGGCCGAGGCAGGAGAAUCGCUUGAACCCAGGAGGCCGAGGUUGCAGUGAGCCGAGAUCACGCCAUUGCACUCCAGCCUGGGCGACAGAGCAAGACUCCGUCUUGAGGGAAAAAAAAAAAAAAAAGAAAAAGGGGCCAGGCACCUGUAAUCCCAGCACUUUGGGAGGCUGAGGAGGGAAGAUCGCUAAAACCCAGGAGUUCAAGACCAGCCUGGGCAACAUGGUGAGACCCCAUCUCUACAAAAAAUGCAAAAAAAAAAAAAACAAAAACAAAAAAAAAAACAGCUGGGCAUGAUGGUGCGCACCUGUAGUCCCAGCUACUCGGGAGGCUGAGGUGGGAGGAUUAUUUGAGCCUGAGAGGUCAAGGCUGCAGUGAGCCAAGAUCGCAUCACUGCACUCUAGCCUGGGUAACAGAGCAAGACCCUGCCUCAAAAAAAAAAAAAAAAAAGGAAAAAGGUUAUUACACAGUUCAAAAGAGAAACAAAGUGCAAAAGCAUGUGCAAAGAAAGUAAAGUCCCUCCUGGCCAAGUGCGAUGGCUCAAGCCUGUAAUCUCAACACCCUGGGAGGCUGAAGUGGGUAGAUCAUUUGAGGUCUGGAGUUUGAGACCAGCCUGGCCAACAUGGUGAAACCCCGUCUCUACUAAAAAUAUAAAAAUUAGCUUGGCGUAGUGGCGGGUGCCUGUAAUCCCAGGUACUCGGGAGGCUGAGGCAGGAGAAUCACUUGAACUUGGGAGGCGGAGGGUGCCGCGAGCCAAGAUCACGCCAGUGCACUCUAGCCUGGGCAACAGAGCAAGACUCCAUCUCGAAGGAAGGAAGGAAGGAAGGAAGGAAGGAAGGAAGGAAGGAAGGAAGGAAGGAAGGAAGGGGAAAGAAAGGAAAGAUCUCUUGCCAAUCAGCCUCCCUGUUGCCCUGUUUCCCAUUCCCUCCCCAGAGGCAACCACUCUUAACAGUUUUUUUGUUUUUGUUUUUGUUUUUUUUUAGACAGAGUCUCACUCUGUUGCCCAGGCGGCUGGAGUGCAGUGGUGUGAUCUCAGCUCACUGCGACCUCCGCUUCCCAGAUUCAAGCAAUUCUCCUGCCUCAGCCUCCUGAGUAGCUGGGACUACAGGUGUGUGCCACCACGUUC